UCCCAAUGAGGAAACACUCACACGUCUAACUUCCUGUCCUGGUCCCAGAGCCUGCAAAGGUGAACCCACUGGGGCUGGCUGGGGGAAAAGAGGAGAACCUGUUCCAGAAGGAACUGUCUGAGGGAC